CCCGUAGCUCAGUUGGUCAGAGCUCCCGGCUCAUAACCGGUUGGUCGCAGGUUCGAGUCCUGCUGGGUCC
rnacentral:tRNA from 1 species